UUGGGAAGAAUUUAGUGUAUUUUAAGGUGAAUCAGGUGGAGAGCCAUUGGAAAGAUCCUCCCUGGAAAUCAUUGUGGUAUGCGACCACGACUUGCAAACUCCAUGAAGAUGGUAGGUUUUCUUGGCUCAUGCUUCUUCUUGGGCUUUCCAAAUCCAUGACGGGAUCGAAUUUGAGGACAAAUUCUUUUCAAGAGGGGGAGAAUGAUGUAGUCCAUAUAGCCAUGAUGAUGAUCCAACUGUGCCAUAAUGAUGUGGUUGAGGUUGAUGCUGCGGUCGAGGUUGAUAUUAAUGUUGUAAUUUCGAGGAUGAAAUUCUUCCAAGAAAGGGAGGAUGAUGCAAUCCAAAUUACCAUGGUGACGACUCAAGUGUUCAAGCCGAGGAGACCCAAAUUGAA